rnacentral:rRNA from 1 species
UCUUUCCUUGUGUGCCAGCCGCCGCGGUAAUACGGAGUAUGCGAGCGUUAUCCGGAUUUAUUGGGUUUAAAGGGAGCGCAGACGGGAGAUUAAGUCAGUUGUGAAAGUUUGCGGCUCAACCGUAAAAUUGCAGUUGAUACUGGUUUCCUUGAGUGCAGUUGAGGCAGGCGGAAUUCGUGGUGUAGCGGUGAAAUGCUUAGAUAUCACGAAGAACCCCGAUUGCGAAGGCAGCUUGCUAAACUGUAACUGACGUUCAUGCUCGAAAGUGUGGGUAUCAAACAGG